GGAGGCGCGAGUUUGAGCGCCGCGCGCGCGCCGCUCUCCUCUCUGCUUUUCCCCGUUCCCUGGCGGCCCGCCCCCUCGGGCUCCCGCCAACCUCAGGGGCCUCGGCCUAGGGCCCCAGCACCCGCCCCUCGGAUGGGGUCUGUGCUCGCAAAAGGGAGGGCACGCCCUGUUUCUACAUCGAGAUAGGCGGAGGCGAAGGACCGCAACGAACACAUAGGUGGCAGAUGGAACAGAUAAAGGUGCGGCCUUGUGGAGUAGGUGUGGCCAUGGAGGAAUUGCAACACUGUAGAAGCAGCUUUUGAGGUCUCCUAACUCCAGUGUGGCUCCCAGUCUCCUCCUGCUGCCUGGGGAUCCAGAUAUAGACCUCUCCUCCUCCAGCACCGUCUGCCUGCACUCUGCCAUGCUUCCUACCAUGACAGUAAUGGACUGAACCUCUGAAACUGUAAGCCAGCCCCAAUUCAGUGUUUGCCUUUAUAAGAGAUGCCUUGGUCACGGUGUCUCUUCACACCAAUAAAAUCCAAACUAAGACACCAGACCUUUCAGUGGUGGUUGUUGUUGUUGAGACAAGGUCUCUCUACAUAGAUCUGGAUGUCAUAGAACUGGCUGUGUGACCUGUACCUGCAGAUCUGUGCCUGCCUCUGCCUCCUGAAUGCUGGGAUUUAAGGCAUAUGCCACCAUAACUCUUGCUGCCUAGAACUGGCUGCCUAGACCUCACUGGCUACUACCUCCCUCUGCCUUGAGUGCUGAUUGCAGGUUUAAGCAACUACUCUUCAUUUCUUCAGUCUUUCGAGAUACAAGACCAUCUUCUUUUUUUAAGUAUUAUUUAUUUAUUUUUAUGUAUGUGAGUACACUGUAGCUAUCUUCAGACACACCAGAAGAGGACAUCAGAUCCCAUUACAGAUAGUUGUGAGCCGCCAUGUGGUUGCUGGGAAUUGAAGUCAGGUCCUCUGGAAGAGCAGUCAGUGCUCUUAUCCACUGAGCCAUCUCUCCAGCCCCCAUUGGUGCUUACCCCAAUGGUGCACAAUCAGUAGUUGUACAACCCUGAGACUCUGCCUCAAAACAAAUCAAAAGAACAUUUCCAGCCAGACAGCAUUGGCGUACAUCUGUGAUCCCAACUGUGAAGGAAAGCUCCUGAAAAGAAGCCGUAUGUGCAGAGACUGAUGAGACCUUCAGUACUGUGGAAUACUUGAAAUGCUACAGCUCCAGAGGGUGAUCACCUUAGUCUUGGCAACCUUUAGCCUCCAGAACAGCUAUGCCUUGUCUACCUCUGCACAGAAACCAACAUCCUGUAGCUAACAGAUAAAGACUCUUUGGAAUUUAUUAAAUGUAGUGGACUACUAGUUUAGAUCAAUCAAAAUGCUAGAAAUGUUCUCAUGCAGCAUCUUGG
ensembl:lncRNA